UUAAUACUUUUCUUUUAUGGUAUUUUUAUACUUUCCCCAUCUUUCAUGAUGAAUGAGUCAAACAGCGCCCCCAUGUGUCAGUGGUCAAACGGGAUAUUACACCCUGUCUGAACUCAACGCCAGGUGAAAGUUGCAUCUGUUAAUUAAAAUACAGUGAAGUGUCAAACAAUUCAAGGCGCCCUCUUUAAAGACACUCCGACACUGUUGACGGACACGUCGCAGUGCGGAGAGUCAUCCUUGAUGUACCAGCUUUUAUUGGUCCGUACCACAUCGACAGAGUGUCCUCGAGAGUGGAGAGCUUUGAUCAUGAUGUCCAUGUUCACCCAGUGGCUUCCCUCCAAAGGAACGAUCAAAAUCUUCCCUCCAUGACAGAUUCUCCACGACAACAACACGAUAGAUAAUAAGCGAAGAAAAGCAGCAUUUCCUCCAGGGGUCAUCUUUAACCUUUGAACUGUGGCUCUUAGAGGAUACUGCCACUGUGGUCAGGGACGAUGAUGCUGGCCCAUUUGUAAAUAACCGGGAUGAAGAGGAGAGCAGAGCCCAGGAUGGACACCAGCAGGAAGGCCC